AUUGAACGCUGCGGCAGGCUUAACACAUGCCAGUCGAGCGAGCGGCGGACGGGUGAGUAAUGCUUAGGAAUCUGCCUAUUAGUGGGGGACAACCUCUCGAAAGGGAUGCUAAUACCGCAUACGAAUAGAUGAGCCUAAGUCGGAUUAGCUAGUAGGUAAGGUAAUGGCUUACCUAGGCGACGAUCCCUAGCUGGUCUGAGAGGAUGAUCAGCCACACUGGGACGGUGACACGGCCCAGACUCCUACGGGAUGCAGCAGUGGGGAAUAUUGCACAAUGGGCGCAAGCCUGAUGCCGCCAUGCCGCGUGUAUGAAGAAGGCCCUAGGGUUGUAAAGUACUUUCAGUCGGGAGGCGUUACCGACAGAAGAAGCACCGGCUAACUCAGUGCCAGCAGCCGCGGUAAUUC
rnacentral:rRNA from 1 species